GACGAACGCUGGCGGCGCGCCUAACACAUGCAAGUCGAACGAGCGAGAGAGAGCUUGCUUUCUCGAGCGAGUGGCGAACGGGUGAGUAACGCGUGAGGAACCUGCCUCAAAGAGGGGGACAACAGUUGGAAACGACUGCUAAUACCGCAUAAGCCCACGGGUCGGCAUCGACCAGAGGGAAAAGGAGCAAUCCGCUUUGAGAUGGCCUCGCGUCCGAUUAGCUAGUUGGUGAGGUAAUGGCCCACCAAGGCGACGAUCGGUAGCCGGACUGAGAGGUUGAACGGCCACAUUGGGACUGAGACACGGCCCAGACUCCUACGGGAGGCAGCAGUGGGGAAUAUUGCACAGUGGGGGAAACCCUGAUGCAGCGACGCCGCGUGGAGGAAGAAGGUCUUCGGAUUGUAAACUCCUGUUGUUGGGGAAGAUAAUGACGGUACCCAACAAGGAAGUGACGGCUAACUACGUG
rnacentral:rRNA from 1 species